rnacentral:lncRNA from 1 species
CGCCAAAAGAAUACCAAUUAGCUACCUGUGCAUCCCUAAUGCCCCUCAGGCACCACCCCCAACCUAAGCUACAUGUAUGUCCCCACUCCACGUGUUCCACGGAGAGAUCACUGACCCCGGGGGUAGGUGCCGCACCCCAGGGGAUUGGGGGUGUCUCUCCCUGCAUUCUCAAUAUAAAGGUCAUUUAUAUUUCAUACUUCUUAUCUUUUCAGCCACCGCCAGUCCCCCACAGUUCUAUCAUAUGGUUCCCUGACCGGGGAACGGCAGAUGAGAGAUCCCUGGGGCCCUCCCAGUUUGAGUCCCCUGCUGUUCAGGACCAGGACUGGACUGCAUCCUGCAUUAAUUCCUUACUUCUACACUUGGGAGCUGUAAACUUGUCACUGCUUGCUCGCAAACAGCACCAACCCAAUUUACCACAGGUGAGCAACCCCUGGAGAUUGCCACUGGGCCAGGCCCCAGAGAUAACAAUAACACUUGUGACACUUGGAGUUCUGAGACAGGUAAACUGACACAAGGUGGAGCUGCCUGCUCCCCCCCAUGGACCAUGCCUCAAAUGCAGCAGAAGACAUUGGGCAAGAGAGUGCCUCAUCCUGGCGUUCCUUUGGGAUCUUACCCCAGGGCUACUGGACUGUCCUAGCCACCAGAGAGUGGGUAAGCCAUCCUAACUUCCAGCCCUCACAGGAAAUGCCAACACUGCCAAAUUCAUCGCCGACAUAUCUGCUUAAACUUGUUGCUGAAGACUGAU